rnacentral:Y_RNA from 1 species
AGCUGUUCCGAGUGCAGUGGUGUUUAUAGCUGAUCAAUUGAUCACCACCAGUUACAGAUUCCUUUGUUCCUUCUCCACUCCCACUGCUUUACUUGACCAGCCUUAA